UCGGCUGCCAGCAGCAAUAGCAGAGGAAGAAGAAACAUAAAUGGGGCCUGGACUUUCACUUCACAGCAAAGUAGCCCAGGAAGUUUGAGGAGACUCAGAGUCACUGUCAAGUCGUCAAGGACCUGGGUCACCCUGCAUCCCCAUCUGGGGCUCCUUCUAUAUCAGUUUUCCUGAAGCUUAGUCCAACUUCUUGAAGUGGGCCAAGAAAAGGCUGUUUCCAGAAUUGGAUAUUGCAUCUCUAAAACACAAGCUUCACUGAUGUCGUGGAGUCUAUGAGACACAAACUUUAUCUCAUAUGGUAGAAUCCGGAAUGGUAGGAACAGAGGGAGGGAGCAAUCAGCCCAUCGGAGGUCACAAAGUAUCUUUGGGUGCCGGGAGUGGUCACUACCAGAGGCUCAGCUUAGGAGGGCAAAACACUUCCCAUCUUUGCCCAAAUUGCCACAUCACCCAGGGCAAGGUUGCAGGGGUGUCUUUGACUAAUGAGAGACCUGCGGUCCCAGUGUGUUUUGAAAUCGUGCUCUCUGACACGCUCUAAAGAACAGAGGAGGUCAGUACAAAUUGCUGGUCUUUGUUGAUUUUCUUUUCUGCAAACAGAUCAGCCAUCGCUUCACACCCAAGGAAAGAACUGCUGUCCAGUGCCAGGCCCAGAGCUUCAUGGUUUGUGGCAAGUCUUUGGAAAGAUAACGUCUAACUUCAUUCAUUUUAGCUGAAAAUACCCCAUGGUGGCAUUUUUCUGGUCUCCCUACUAAAAAAGUUUAUAACCCGGCCUACGCCUCCUCAGAACUCUGAAAAAUGUACCUUUUCCACCUCACAAGGCUUGGUUCCACUUUCUGACAGCAAGAGAACAUUGCGAAGAGAAAUGUGAAUGGGUUUCAUCAUGAUUUCUGAUAAGACAUUGUGUUGACCUUUUGAGGUACAGCCACAGAUCAGCAGAGGUACUAAGAACAUACAUGUGGAAAAGACAAUUUCUUCGAUAGAUGAUAUUGAGAAAGCUGGAUGUCCACAUGCAGAAGGAUGAAAUUGGACCUUUAUCUCACAUCAUAGAUAAAAAUCAACUCAGAAUGGAUUAAAGACUUAAACAUAAGGUCUGAAGCUGUAAAACUAGUAGAAGGAAAUAGGAGAAAGCUUCAUAACAUUG
rnacentral:lncRNA from 1 species